UACGGGGGGAGCAAGCGUUGUUCGGAUUUACUGGGCGUAAAGGGCGCGUAGGCGGCCAGCACAAGUCAGUUGUGAAAUCUCCGGGCUUAACUCGGAAACUGCAUUUGAUACUGGCGUGCUUGAGGACUGGAGAGGAGACUGGAAUUCAUGGUGUAGCAGUGAAAUGCGUAGAGAUCAUGAGGAAGACCAGUGGCGAAGGCGGGUCUCUGGACAGUUCCUGACACUGAGGCACGAAGGCCAGGGGAGCAAACGGG
rnacentral:rRNA from 1 species